AGAAGUUUAGGAUAUACAAGUCCGCGGGCCUUCAAAGCCCUAAGAAAACACGCAAGUUUAACUUCUGA
rnacentral:tRNA from 1 species